UGGGGAAUAUUGCACAAUGGGGGAAACCCUGAUGCAGCGACGCCGCGUGAACGAAGAAGGUAUUCGUAUCGUAAAGUUCUGUCCUAUGGGAAGAUAAUGACAGUACCAUAGAAGAAAGCUCCGGCUAAAUACGUGCCAGCAGCCGCGGUAAUACGUAUGGAGCGAGCGUUGUCCGGAAUUAUUGGGCGUAAAGGGUACGUAGGCGGUUUAAUAAGUCUAAUGUUAAAGAUCGGGGCUCAACCCCGCAAAGCAUUGGAAACUGAUAAACUUGAGUAGUGGAGAGGAAAGUGGAAUUCCUAGUGUAGUGGUGAAAUACGUAGAUAUUAGGAGGAAUACCAGUAGCGAAGGCGACUUUCUGGACACAAACUGACGCUGAGGUACGAAAGCGUGGGGAGCAAACAGG
rnacentral:rRNA from 1 species